rnacentral:rRNA from 1 species
GAUGAACGCUGGCGGCGUGCUUAACACAUGCAAGUCGAACGAAGUGGCGGAUGGGCGAGUAACACGUGAGGAACCUGCCUUUCACAGGGGAAUAACACUGGGAAACCAGUGCUAAUACCGCAUAGUGAACGAUGGCCUCGCGCCUGAUUAGCUAGUAGGUGAGGUAACGGCUCACCUAGGUGAUGAUCAGUAGCCGUACGGAAGGUUGAUCGGCCGCAUUGGGACUGAGACACGGCACAGACGCCUACGGGAGGCAGCAGUGGUGAAUAGUAGGCAAUGGCGCAAGCCUGACCCAGCAACUCCGCGUGAAGGAAGCCGGUAUUCGGAUGGUAAACUUCUUUGGACAGAGACGCGGUACCUGUAGAAUAAGCCACGGCUAACUACGUGCCAGCCGCCGCGGUAAUUC